UACGAGAGGUCCAAACGUUAUUCGGAAUUACUGGGCUUACAGAGUUCGUAGGCGGUUCUACAAGUGGGGUGUGAAAGCCCUCGGCUCAACCGAGGAACUGCGCUCCAAACUGUAGAACUAGAGGGAGAUAGAGGUGAGCGGAACUGAUGGUGGAGCGGUGAAAUGCGUUGAUAUCAUCAGGAACACCGGAGGCGAAGGCGGCUCACUGGGUCUCUUCUGACGCUGAGGAACGAAAGCUAGGGGAGCAAACGGG
rnacentral:rRNA from 1 species